GAACGCCGUAUGCGGUGAAAGUCGCACGUACGGUGUGAAGCGGGGGAAAAUCAAGCCAUAACUUAAUCCUUAUGGUGGUUGAUUACCUAUCGCUAA
rnacentral:ncRNA from 1 species